GAUGAAGAACGUAGCGAAAUGCGAUACGUAAUGUGAAUUGCAGAAUUCAGUGAAUCAUCGAAUCUUUGAACGCAUAUUGCGCUCUCUGGUAUUCCGGAGAGCAUGCUUGUUUGAGUAUCAGUAAACACCUCAACUUCCAUAUCUUUUUGAAAUGGGAGUUGGACUUGAGUGAUCCCAACGCUUUUCCUCACCGAAAAGUGGCGGGUUACUUGAAAUGCAGGUGCAGCUGGACUUUUCUCUGAGCUAUAAGCAUAUCUAUUUAGUCUGCCUAAAAAACAGAUUAUUACCUUUGCUGCAGCUAACAUAAAGGAGAUUAGUUCUUGUGCUGACUGAUGCAGGAUUCACAAAGACAGGCUUCGGCCGACUUUGUAAACUCGAUCUCAAAUCAAGUAAGACUACCCGCUGAACUUAAGCAUAUCAAUAAGCGGAGGA
rnacentral:misc_RNA from 1 species